UACAGAGGGGGCAAGCGUUUGUUCGGAAUUACUGGGCGUAAAGGGCGCGUAGGCGGCCCGCUAAGUCGAACGUGAAAUCCCCGAGCUCAACUCGGGAACUGCGUCCGAUACUGGUGGGCUUGAAUCCGGGAGAGGGAUGCGGAAUUCCAGGUGUAGCGGUGAAAUGCGUAGAUAUCUGGAGGAACACCGGUGGCGAAGGCGGCAUCCUGGACCGGCAUUGACGCUGAGGCGCGAAAGCUAGGGGAGCAAACGGGG
rnacentral:rRNA from 1 species